rnacentral:rRNA from 1 species
UACGUAGGAUGCAAGCGUUGGCCGGAUUUAUUGGGCUUAAAGGGUGGGUAGGCGGCUUAUUAAGUUAGUGGUGAAAACGUUCGGCUUAACCGGGUACCCGCCAUUGAUACUGAUAGACUUGAGUGCGACAGAGGGUGUUGGAAUGUGUGGUGUAGCGGUGAAAUGCUUAGAUAUCACGCAGAACACCAAUUGCGAAGGCAGAUGCCUAUGUCGUAACUGACGCUGAGGCACGAAAGCGUGGGGAGCAAACAGG